UUUUCUUUUCACUAAAGAGGUAAUAAUGAAAAGCAUUUUUUUUUAAAAUUCCGUAAUGAUUCAGAUGUGGAAUCAGCUUAAAUCAAAGAUCCACAUGGUCUGGUCGCCACCAAUGGACAGAAAGCUGUGUGGUAUUUCCUUUAGUAGCCUAGAGAGACUUCCAAGUAUGUCUCCUGGGAGCAAGGGUGGAAAGUGUGGGUUUGCGUGUCAGCCAGCCGUGGCAGGGACAAGGAAAGGGGUAGGUCUGUUGGAAGGCCCUUACAGAGUCUGGAGGCGGGAAUGGGGCACACAGGGUACUGGCCAGUCUAUCAUCCCUUGUGAUGAGUGUCUGUCUCGUGCAGCUGCACCCUCAGCUCCCUUUCCCCUGACUGCCAAUGCCCUUUGUGAGAAGCAAGGCCUUGGCCCUCUGCCUGCAGUGUUACAGAAAGACCGUACUUAGUUCUUCAGUUACCAAGAAUGACCACUCUCUCCAGGAGCACCUAGAGGGCUUGAAGGGUCAUCCAUCCCUUGCUCUCACCUCUUUCCGCCUUGGAAAAUUGCUGCAAACCUCACUAACCGAAUCUCACCAGCCCAGCCUGUGUUUUUAACACAAUUUCCUCCUGUUCUUUCUGUGUGUGCUUUUAAUCCUUGAGGUAAUAAUAUGCUGUAUUAAAAUUUUCUAAUGCACUGAAUUAAUUCUCAAAUAGAAAAGGCUGGGGACUUCAUUCUCAUUUGUCAUUUGUUUAAUAAAUUUAAGAAACAUUCUUUCCAUUGUUCCACUGUAUACAGUUUUGUCAGCAUGUGCCUACCUACCUGGGAGAAGAUGCUCUGUUUUGAACAUUGUCUUGAUCCUUGGAGCAUGGCAUAUCUUCUGCCCCCUGCACUGUUGGAACGCUGUUUGAUGUCUUUUCUUUAAAGCAACCCAAAAACCUUGCCUAAAUACCAAUUUGUACCUAGAAUACACUUUGUAGAACACAGCAGUCAGCUCACCCAGCAGCACUUUGACAGACCAAAGCAUGGUCACCCAGGCACUGGGAGAAGUGUAAGCUUGGCUUUUGUGGCCUCAUCUUCUCUCAGGGCCCUGCACCAUAUAAGGUGCUGUGGGGUGGGGCAAGAGAGCAGGCUCACUGAAAGGGGGGCAGAUGUCAGUGGAACAGAGCGCAUCUGAGACAGCACCUUAUGUUGGGAGCUCACACAGCCGCAGGCCCUCCUCCACAGGCUGGGCUUUGCUUUUCCCAGUGGGAGUGAAACACCUGAUGCUGAUUGGCUUUGGUGGGAGGGAGCGGGGCGUGGCAUCUCCAGCAGGCAAGCUCUUUGUCCCCUGAGUGCGCACCCACAACAUGUGCUCCUCGGAUGCACCCUGCUUUCACUUCUGCCUGUGCUUCUGUAUGGAGCCUCCGCACAGCAUGGACUCCCGUCCCCCGGAAUGCUCUCUGUCCUCUCGGAUAGCCAUGAGUUUGGUGACUGAGCAUGGAAGACCAAACUCAUGUCAAAUGUUUGCAUGGUGUUAAUAUCGUCUGUUACUCUGAACUCAAGAGGCUUUCCUAAACCUCGUCCUAACUAGCGUCUUGCUGUUAACAAACAAACCAAAACCCUGUUUGAUGUAACUGUUCUUUCCCACCGAUGGCUAAAGCUUUGUCCUUCCUACAAGAUGGUAUACUAGACUCCAUGUUCCUCAUCCCCACAGUGACACCAAGUUCACAAGUUAUCCCCCAUCUUCAAAGCAGGAUUCUCCUUUUACGUUUGCCCUAUAAGUAAGAGCAGCCUUGUGUGCUCUCUGCCAUUUGACACUGAGUGACAGUCUGCGAGUCUGGCAUCACUGUGGCUUGUCUGAAUGGCUUGGUGAUGAAGUAUGAAGUGGAUGCUUAGCUGUGGUUGAGCUCCCCUUAAAGGACGCUGGUUCUGAGGAACGCAUGUAACUUGCCCCCAGCCACCUGAGGUGUCACGAAGAGGACACCAUCUCUAACACUGGUAAACUGUGACCUCACUCUCCCAUGUGGGAACCUUGCCAUUCCAGCCUGCUGUUGUCAUAGAGUCUGUUGGGCAGGGACCCACCUCUGAUGCGGUGUGGGGGUGACUUUCUUGGGUGGUUAGUGCUCGGGAUAGAUGAUCUCAUUCGAGAUUUCAUUAUCUUCUUUCUUAGUGGGAAGUCGUGAGUUUAAAAAGAGCCCGCGUUUCUUCUGGCUUUCCUAUGUAUGCCUCUGGAACACAUUCUGAGUACGUAGGUAAAAAAAUCUAUAUUUUAGAGCCAGGUAACAAAAGAUAGGAUUGUAGCAUCUAAAAACUUGCAAAAGAAGUAAGUUUAUUCGGGGAAUAGUAAAGAAUUUUUGAAAGUAGGAAUUAUCAACACCAUCAAUGUUCUUGUUUUAAUAACUUAUCAAAUAACAAGUUUCUUUUUUUUUUAGAUUGUCAGGUUUUCUACUUCUCUUUUUGCAGGAAAAGAACCCACACAAAUAGCUAUCUAGUUAAAAAUUAGACACUUAUCAACUUACUGACUAGUUUACAAAACAGGACAGGUCCAGAAGUAUGUGAAAUGCCGUUUUAAUUACCUGAGAAAUAGAUUGGAUUUUUUCUCGCUCUCUUCCCAGAACUGGGUGAGUCUGUUUACAAGGCUUUGGCCUAAGCUGAAGAAGCAGAUCAGUAGUAAGAAGCUUGUACCAGUCCUCGGAGGCAACGAGAGGCAGGAAGCUGGGUUGCUUCUAGAAGCACCUGCUCCCCCUCAGGUCAUUUUGUCUCUGAGGAAGAGCUCAGCCUUCUGUGGGCCAGGAGAGAAAUAUGAAUGAAUGUCUUCUAAAUGAAAAUGAUAAACCUGUAGAGACAGGCUCUGGGGUGGGCGAUAGAUUGAAAUCCAUAAAAACAGCAGGGCCAAUUUGAAGUCCCAUAAUUAUUAGUGGGAUGAUAAAGUAUCCAUUUAAGAAGAUUUGAAAAGGCCUUUGCCAGAGGUGUGUGCCCUUAGACGUUGGUGGGGACUGCUGGCCCGCCGGGCUGCCGUAAAUGCAGACCUCUUCAUGCAGAUUAGUGGGAGAGGAAGAAAUCACCGAGGAGUCACUAACCUGAGUGCCUGAGGAAACGCAUGGCAACUUUUAGACGUAGGGAACAAUGUUUAUAAAGCCAUUGGAAGUUUCCAGAGGUUCAGGGAGCAGUUGAUACUUUCCCUAAGACAUUUAAAUUCCUUCCCGCCUCUUGCCUUGCUGUCCAGGUGCCUCCUCAUGGGGUCCUACAGAAUUGUCUGCCUGUAGCUCCCUCAUGAAGAAAUUUGCUUGUCGUCAGGGAAAAAAAAAUGGUCUAAAAAAACAAAAGCCCACGCGUCAAUCAUUCCACAGCAUAAGGGCAAAGGUGCCUCAUGGGUCCCUCUUCUCUGUUCCCACCACCUGGGGCCGUGCCUUCAAAACAGCAGUGGUCAGACUUAACGAGCUUCAGUUCUGUGUAGUCGCACUAACUCUACAUAACCUUGAACCCUGCUUGCUUUCGACUUGCCCUUCACACCCACCAGUCUGGAUACAGAGCUGCCGGGUUCUGCUUACUGCUCUUGCCAGCGUGUCUCAUUGAUUGCUGAGUGGGAAGCUGUGACGUCUUCCUUUGGGUCUUGUGUCAGCUGUAAGGUUUCAAGUCCUCAGGACAGGACCUUGUCUCCAUAGGCUCAGCUUCAGAAAUGGAAGUCUCCUUCCUUUGCCUUGCUGACGGAUUCUUAGAUCAAAGUGUCGGCGUUUGUCCAUGUCUCGGUCUGACAGUUUACCCACCCAGCCCUCUUCCUUUCAUGAGCAGACUCAAGGACCUCUUCGGAAAAGGAAAUUAACCACCCCAACUUGGUUCCCCCCCCCGCCCCCCCGUGAGGCAAUCAGACAUAGUCAGACCACGUGUGCUGAACCCCUCGGGCAGACCUGAGCUGUCGCCAGCCUUUUCUAUCCCUUGGGCAACCAGGACAGCUUUCUACCAUCUCUCUGAGGUAGUCCAGUGAGAAGUCUUCUAAUCCUAACCAACUCUAUUCUUUAAAAGGUUAUCAGGGCAUCACCUCUUAAAACCCAGUCUGUUGCUUAUGCUUCCAGCCUGCCCGACGGGUCAGCUAACUGCAGGACUUACUAGGGUAGGAGGGCAGGGGCGGGGCAGCUUUCACUUGUGGAGGGCGGUGUGGUUGUCUCUGAAUGUGUGCACCUUACUCUCUCCUCCAGUGGCAGGCAGCUUGCUCUCUGUCGCUGGAAGCUGUUCACAGCCUGCUGGUAACCCAUCUCCUUGCAGCCUGCCCCACUUGAAGCUAGCUUUCUAACAACUUUUUAUCCUUGGCUCCAACUCUCUCAGAGAGGUGAAUGCUUUUUCUGUGCCACACCACCGCAGCCCCAAGGCCCAGCAUGCCGUCACUUAUAACCUGCCCACCGAUCUCGUGAGAGCUGACGGUAAGCCCCACAUCAAGCUAGAUGACUAGUGGGUAAACUCAAAGCGACUCUCAACUCAGCCACUCACGAAUGCAUGGAAUGUUUUGAUCUUGACACAAAACUGCCAGAAUUUUCUCUUUUCUAACUUCUAUUUGUAGUGAUAACAUUUUUCUGUGAUUUUCUUUUCUUUUUUUUUUUUUUUUUUAAAAAAAAGAGAAUAGUGUAGUAUCUUGAAACAAUGCAAUUCCAGUGUGUCACUAUUUCUAUUUAACAACUUUCAUUCUUUCCUAAUCAUUGUAUCCAGUUGUGCACUAGUGUCAAUAAAAUUGACAUUUGUGAAGCGA
rnacentral:lncRNA from 1 species